UGGUUCUGGCAUCGAUGAAGAACGCAGCGAAAUGCGAUAAGUAAUGUGAAUUGCAGAAUUCAGUGAAUCAUCGAAUCUUUGAACGCACAUUGCGCCUUUUGGUAUUCCGAAAGGCAUGCCUGUUCGAGCGCCGUUUCAUACCUCAAGCUUCUGCUUGGUGUUGACUGCUUAUCGUCAGAUACAGUCUAAACUCUUUGGCAUUUGUCUUACAAGUCUCUACGCGACAGAAUCUCGUUCUGACUACUAAGCACAAUUAGCCAGUGUCUUCGAAACGAUGGCCUCGGAUCAGGCAAGGUUACCCGCUGA
rnacentral:misc_RNA from 1 species